AUUGAACGCUGGCGGCAGGCCUAACACAUGCAAGUCGAGCGGAUGAAGGGAGCUUGCUCCUGGAUUCAGCGGCGGACGGGUGAGUAAUGCCCAGGAAUCUGCCUGGUCGUGGGGGAUAACGUCCGGAAACGGGCGCUAAUACCGCAUACGUCCUGAGGGUGAAAGUGGGGGAUCUUCGGACCUCACGCUAUCAGAUGAGCCUAGGUCGGAUUAGCUAGUUGGUGGGGUAAAGGCCUACCAAGGCGACGAUGCGUAACUGGUCUGAGAGGAUGAUCAGUCACACUGGAACUGAGACACGGUCCAGACUCCUACGGGAGGCAGCAGUGGGGAAUAUUGGACAAUGGGCGAAAGCCUGAUCCAGCCAUGCCGCGUGUGUGAAGAAGGUCUUCGGAUUGUAAAGCUCUUUAAGUUGGGAGGAAGAGCAGUAAGUUAAUACCUUGCUGUUUUGACGUUACCAACAGAAUAAGCACCGGCUAACUUCGUG
rnacentral:rRNA from 1 species